AAAUUAACUGUGAUGAGAAGAGUAGCUUAUUCAAAGCGUUUACAGAAAAUUAGUAGGGAUGAGAGCUAAUAACGAUUGAAUCAGUGAAGAUGAACUCGGAGGUUUUAGAAGGUGUUGGCUUUCUAAACGGUAGCAACCGUUACUUUGCAGCAAUUGAUAAAGAUUGUAUAAGUGACUCCUCUAGCAAUAGAGGAGUAAUCAGGGUGGUACCACGGUUAUCCCGUCCCUAGG
rnacentral:ncRNA from 1 species